rnacentral:lncRNA from 1 species
AUGCUGUCAACGAGAGUUUGAGUUCCCCUCGCAUUUUUAAACUUAUUAAACCUUUGCGGAGCCGUUACGGAUAGCUGUAUCAAAGAAAACUAUAUCGGUUGCUGCUCCUGACCAUUUAACAAUGGAAACUCAUGUUCUUCCAGAGCCUCUUCAUUUCACAGCCCACACUGCACCUCUGUCAUUGUGAGAAAUUCAGUCUCAGGUCUUUGGCUCUGCUGAUAGACUCAAUCCAGUAAGUAAUAGGAUUCCUCAUCCGGCAUGACUUGACUCUCGCUGG